AAGUGUGUUGGAAAGGGGUUUUGGAUUUAAUCAUAAAAUUAUGAUUAUAAGAUUCAGGAGUCGCAACCUAGUAUUAUGGUCGUUAGAAAACCUAAUGGUCUGCGAGAGUCCGGGUAUUAUGGUCGUUGGAUUUUUGACAGUAUAUUCUUGAAGGAGGAGAGCCCUGUUGAGAAGGGAAAUUUGAAAUUUGAGGAGAAAAGCCCAAAUUUGGAUGUUUAUGGACUUAAUUGGAUUUUUAAAUGAAUUUAUAGGAGAUUUGAUUGUAAGAAAAAUUGAUUUUUAAGUCAAUUUGGGCUUUAAUUAGAAGUAUUUUGAUCAAACCCUAAUAGAUAAUCAUAAACCGGUUAUGAUAUCCAUUUUUUAUAUUUUAAAUCAUGAUAAAUAUGAUUUUUAUCUCUCUUUAGAAAAUAUGCUUGAAAAACUUUUAGGAUUUGGCCGUAUGCACAAAGACAAAAUAGUUUUUUAUUUUAUUUUUUUGGAAAGAGAAAAUUAAUUUGAAUUUUUUUUUAUUUUCAAAUUUGUUUAUAAAGAAACAUUUCAGAGAAAACCGGGUAUUUUAUAAUGUAAGUCUAAAGCCUGAUAUUAUGCAAAAUAGUUGGAAAAACAUGCGAGAGGCCCACAUAUAUUUUUCAAAUGCCCUUUGAAAUUAUUGAAAUUUUCUCUUUUUUUAAAAAAAUAUGUUUUAAUAUUAUUUUAUUUUAUAAUGAAAUAUAUAUUGGAUUAGACCCAGCUCAGUCAUCUAGGCUCGGAUGAAACAGGUCCAGCCCGACUCAGUCGGGUUAGGUCGAUUGGCGGCUCAACAACCUCUCUCUCUCUUUUUUUAGGUUGGGCCAGACCUAGUCAUCUGGGCUUGGCUGAAACAGGUUCAACCCAUUGUUGUUAAUGGCAUUUUUCCAUUUGCAUGCAAAAUGUAUUGUGCAUGCAAAUGGCUAUGACAGGGGGGUUUGGAGAAGAAAAGGAAGAGGAAAGCUUGCCUAGCCAUAGGAGAAAAGUUGUUGGCGGCAUUCAUGGUGGUGGAGGGAAGUCUAGAGAGUGGUUGGUGGUAGUACCAACGGCGGAGAAAGAGGGGAAAGGUUGACAAAAAACCAACACUAGGGAAAAGGGCUAUUUUUCCCCAACUUUGGCCUCUUAUUUCCUUAUGCUCAAUGCCUAGAAUUCACCUCUAUUUAUAGAGAGUGGAAGAGGAACUUUUUGUUUUUAUUGAGAACAAAUCUUGGCCCUUGAUUCAAGCGAAAAGAUCCCAACCGUUGGAUCAAAGGUGUCAUCAUGACUUGUAAAAAUUCCUGUAGAAAAGCUAGUUGGGUUGGCCAUUUAGAGGCAACAUCAUGGCGGAUGUAAGGGCAAUAAACAGGCAAGAUUUAUGCUGGGGUAUAGUACAAUGUCAAGCCAUCAUUGUGGUGUAUGGUUUGUUUGAUUUGGUUGAGAGAUGAAAUAUUAAAUGCCCCUGAAAAGUAGACACCUGAGCAGUUUUUUUGGGCAAGAAAAAAAAAUGAUGACUAGGAUGGUUAACUUCACCGUUUGGAUUUGAUUAGUUCUAAUUGAGUUAAAAGGAAGUUUAACCUUGCUGAAACUUUUGUUUAAAUUAAGUUAGUAAGAAUAAAAUAAAUGGAAAGUGUGGUGGCUUGAUUUGUGUUUAACCAUCAAAAGCAAGCUAAUUAUGAUUUAAAUUGAAGAAAAUGCUUAGCGUCUUUCCUUAGGCAUGUUCAGCUAGAUUAUUGGUAAGGAAAAUGAAAUGGUAGACAUGACGUACAUGUGUUGCUGUUAAAUGCAUGACUUAAUGAAAAAGUGAGGACUAGAUUAUGGGGGCAAGGAAUGAGAAAUAGAAGCCCUUGUGACAAAUAUGGAUUCUAAAGAAGUUGGAUAGGCUAAAUUGGUAGUAGAAACAUGAAUAAGUGAUGAUGAUAUAUAUAAACCUUAGGAUAUUAAUGUAAAAACAAGUUAAUAGUAGGAAAAGUGAGAUAUUGGUUGUCCAAUCCAUGUAUUGGGACUAAACAGUUUGGUCACCCAACUUCAGCUAAGGUCAGGGCACCCAAAUGAUAAAUUUAAUAUUUGUGUCUUAAUAAAGGUUAUAGGUAUGGAUGUUAUCUUUUAAAAAAAACUAACCGCGCUUAAUUUGGAGUUAUAGAACUCUAGAUAACGACUGAAAAUGGAAGACGGGUCAAACUGUCUCGUACAGGACAUAUUGUGUUGAGUGCUAUAUAUAACGGAUAAUUUCAAGGGUCUUAAGGGCAGAACUGGGCUUUCUAUUCUUCAAUAGAGUUGUAGAACCGUGUCUUACCUUUCCAAGGAGUCGAGCCACACUUAAAACCGAAGUCUAUAACUUUACUUAUGAAUAAGAUGGUAAACAAUGCUCUCCAAUAAAAACUGACGUAAGGAGUGUAAUGAUGUAGUUGAAGGAAAAUAAUCGAAAAAUGAAAUUAAAAGAUGGCAACGAAUUCAUGUGAAUGAGAUUGCAAUAGUAUAAGAAUGCUGAUUGUGAUAAAAUUAUAAGAGGGUAUUCAUUGUAUCUCUUAAUUCUUAAACAUAAGAGAUACCUGGAGUAGGGUCAUCGGUAAUUGAAGGGACUAGGUCGGUUGGGGAAACAAAUAGGUGCAUCGCACCUUAUCUUUUCAAUAUGUGUAAACUUAUUGAUGAAUAUUAGAAUUUAUUGUUUUAUUGCUUUGAUAAAUAUUGGAAUGAAUAUGAGUACCCUGCGUACAUUGAUGUGUAUCAACUAGUUCUGAUAUAAUUAUGAUAAUGUUUGAAUGAACAUGUGUAUCUUGCGUACAAUGAUAUGGAUCAAGUUAGUUAGGAUAACGUUUAAACGAACAUGAGUAUACUAUGUGCAUUUCUAUGUAUCAAAUUAAUUAUGUUAUUAUUAGAAUGGAUGUGAGUACCUUGCUUACAUUGAUAGGUUUUGAAUUAGCCAUGAUAACUUUGGAAUACACGUGAUUAUCUUACAUAUCUCGGUAUGGAUUGGGCAUACAGAAUCACUUGGAGAUUAUUAUUAUUUGUUUCGAUUGACCGAUCAAUGAAAAUUCAAUUUCGAACUUCUAAUUGGAUAAGGAUACUUGUCAUUUGAGGAAUUCAUGGUGUUGAAACAAGCAACCGGAUCGUCAACAUAAGAAUUUUCAACGACUUUAAUUUUCUUGUCUGAUGGCAAUGAAGCCAAGCGAAAGUUGACGGGUUUCCAGCCCAAGAAGAGUUUUUAAAUGAUAUGUUGACCUUUCGCAUUCAGACAUGAAGGAUAUUCCGAGCUACAAAAAAACAUUACCAAUCACGUGCUAGAAAUUUUGCAUGAAACAAUUUUCAUUUCCUUACGCUGAAUCAGCCAAGUCAAGCACAAUACAUGAUCUUUAACCAAAAGCCUAGGAGAGUAACCAAUUACGAUCAAUCUCUAAGAUGACCUUUCUUCAAUCCCAAACUGACAACCAUCUCUAAAUCGUGCAAGAAAUGCUUUGAAGCGAUCCACUAGUCAUCAGCCUGGAAUUCAUUUGGCUUUGAAGCCAUCAACUAGUCAUCAGCCUGGAAUUCAAUUUUACAGCUGUCUGGAAUUUAUUUUCCAAGAAAGUUUAUCCGCGCGAAAACUUCAACUUGAUUAGGAGAAAGAAACUGCGUUUUGCUUCUAUCGGAAUUCAAGCAUCCUCUUCAAGCCUCCAACGAAUUCCUUAACAAUUAGCGUUAUUAGAUUACCAUUUUUAUCAUACUAUCCCCCAUUAUCUAGGCACGAUUAAACACAGAAUACAAAUCACACCACAGUAUAGUGCCUCAAGUUCACGUAAUUAUUGUCAUUGUACUUCAUUAUUGAGAUUUCCGAACAUUUGCAAGAUGCUUAUAGACCCUUUUUUUUUUUAGUUGAAAGGUUGUCAGUAGGAAACCUGUAAUUCUGCUACCAUGCAUUGCUCCAUAUACGAGGAUUAUAAAUAGGAGCUGUAUAAAAUAUAUAGGUGUAUCUUUAAUUUAUUUCUUUAUAGUAAUCGAGUAGAAUUAAAUUAAAAGAGCACCAUUAAGAAGAUAGUGACCGAAGGAAUAAAAACUUACAACAUAAGUAUCUAAAAGAAGGAGAAAAAUCAAACUAAUUAGUCUAGUUCAAGAUACAUUCAAGACUUCUAGUCUGAUCAGAACCUGUGUAACUAAAGUUUCUGACUGAGAAUUUCAACCAAAAGGCCAAACAUUGAAAGGUAAGAUAAAAAAUCACAUCCCAAUUAUAGACCUUGGACUCGAAGAUAACUCGAUUGCGAACUAACUAGAGUUGAGUUUUGUAAAGAGAUUGAAUUAAUGUAUAAUGUAUUGGACGCGAAUCACAGCAGCCCUUCCUUGAUAUUUAUACCUUUAGGGUUGUGUGUAAUAGAAGGGUGGAAUGUACUAUACAUGAUAAUUAUUCCUAUACAAGGUAUUUACAUAUAUAUAGAACUCUUUCCAUAAUAUGCCCCGUCAAGCUGAAGGUGGAGACUCCACCUGAAGCUUGGAUCGAAAGAAAACAAACGAAACUAGAGGGAGAGGCUUGGUAAGAACAUCAGCUAGUUGAUCCUUGGAAGAGAUGAAUCGUACCUGAAUUUCUUUCUUAGCAACGCGAUCACGAACGAAGUGAUAAUCAACUUCAACAUGUUUAGUACGUGCGUGAAACACUGGAUUAGCAUACAGGAAAGUGGCCCCUAAAUUAUCACACCAUAACGUAGUGCUGGGUGAAGACGGAAGUCGUAGUUCUGACAACAAAGAGCGAAUCCACAAGAUUUCAGCAGUACCAUCAGCUAAGGCUUUGUAUUCAGCUUCUGUAGAGGAUCUAGCAAGUGCGUUGUUUCCCAGAUUUCCAGGAAAUAGGAGUGGAACCAAGGUACACAAGAUAACCACCUGUGGAUUUUCGAUCAUCAAUACUGCCAGCCCAGUCAGCAUCAGUAAAGCCAUGAAGAGACAAGGAGGAGUCCCGAGUAAUAUGCAGACCAUAGGUGGCUGUAGCCUGAAGGUAAUGUAAGAUGCGUUUAACUGCCGCCCAAUGGUCCUCAGUAGGAGCAUGCAUAAACUGACACACCUUGUUUACUGCAUAACAAAUAUCAGGUCUAGUGAAAGUAAGGUACUGUAGAGCACCAACAAUCUGUCUAUACCGUGUUGGGGUAGAGUGAAGAGUACCAGGCACAGAUCCCAAUUUAGACGAGGGAGACAACGGAGUAUCAACUGGUUUGCAAGAAGUCAUACCUAUUCAUUGGAUAAUGUCUAGUGUGUACUUGUGUUGACUGAGUAAGAGACCCAUAGAAGUCGAUUUAACUUCUAUUCCUAGGAAGAAGUGAGCCGACCCUAAGUCCUGAAGCUUAAACUCUGAACUCAACAAAGUAAUCAGUCGUUGAAGUAAGGCCGAGUCACUCCCAGUUAAUAGAAUAUCAUCAACAUACACAAGCAGAUAGAUCAUUGCACCACCGAAAGAGAGAAUAAACAGCGAAGUAUCAACCUUGGAUGCCUGAAAUCCAAUGGAGAUGAGAAACUCACUUAACCGAUUGUACCAUGCUCGAGGUGCUUGUUUCAAACCAUACAAGGAUUUAUGAAGACGAAACACAUGAGAUAGAAGUGUAGGAUCAACAAAGCCAGGUGGUUGUGCCAUGUACACUUCUUCCUGAAGAAUGCCAUUCAGGAAGGCAUUAUGGACAUCUAACUGAUGAAUUUUCCAACCAUGUGUGACAGCAAUCGUGAUCACAAGUCUAACCAUGGUAGGCUUAACCACUGGACUAAAUGUCUCCAAGUAAUCAAUCCCCUCUUGAUGCGUGAAACCGCGGGCAACCAACCGUGCUUUAUAUCUGUCAACUCGACCAUCGGCGUGCCGCUUAAUCUUAUAAACCCACCUACUGCCUACCACAUUCAUGGAUGGAUGUAAGGGCACCAGUGACCAAGUGUGAUUACCAUGAAGUGCCUUGAUUUCCUCUGUCAUAGCAUUAUGCCAAAUCAAGUACCGGUUGGCAUCUUUGAAAGAAAGUGGUUCCUGUUGAGGUAGAGAAACUACCCGGGAGGCAGGGGAGACACUAAAAUUUGCUGUCUUGGAUACACGUGGGCGAAGUACCAUGGAGUGGGUGCGGGCAGCAGGAGGGGGAGUGGCAGACUCACUAGUCGUGGCUUGCUGAAGGGAGAAUUGAGACAAAUCAACACAUAAAUUAAGUCCAAGAGAGGAAAUAGAUGAAGAACCUGGUGAUGAAGAGCUCAAUACAGAGACAAACCGAGAAGGGGAAACAACAGGUGAGACAGUCAUAAUCUAUUCACUCCUGGGGAGACGAAUAGGGGAGCUGACAGGGGAACCAGCAGGGGUGACCUCCACACUUUGUUCACUGCUGGUGGGAACAACAGGGGAGACGGUAGUUGAACCAGCAAGAGAGAACGACAAGUCUGAACCUGUACCUGAGGAAUGAUCAUGACAGUGAUAUGCAGGUAAUGAUAAGGGUGCCCAAAGGCUUGUGUUAUGUGCAGGGGGUGUCGGGUGAGUGUUUGGAUAGGAUGAUGGGAUGGGCUCUAAAGUAGCAGCAGGAGGUUGUAUGGGUGAAUCUACAAUCUGUUCAGUUUUGUCAAGAGGGAAAACAAUUUCAUGAAAACAAGCAUGACGAGUAAGAUAAAUACGGUUUGAUGACAAAUCAAGACAUCGAUAUCCUAAAUGAGAAUUGCUAUAUCCUAGAGAGACACAAGGGGAUGAGCGAAAAUCUAACUUAUGAGCAUUGUAUGGACGAAGAAAUGGAAAGCAAAGACACCCAAAAGUACGGAGGAAAGCAUAAUCAGGAGUUGAUUUUAAAAGACAUUCAAAUGGUGUUUUAUGAUUAAAAACAACAGUGGGGAUGCGAUUAAUCAAAUAUACUAAACUUUCAAAAGCAUAACUCCAGUAUUUUAGGGGAGCUUUACAUUGGCCAAGAAGAGUGAGCCCAGUUUCAACAAUAUGUCGAUGACGACGUUCAACCAUUCCAUUUUGUUCAUGAGUAUGCGGACAAAUAACACGAUGAUGAAUACCAAUGGUUUUAAAAUAUGUAUUGAGUUUGCGAUAUUCACCACCCCAAUCUGUUUGAACAUACUUAAUUUUUAAAGAAAAUUGGCGCUCAACGAGUGCCUGAAAUUGAUGAAAUAUAGCAAACACAUCAGAUUUUGCAACCAAAGGAUACAACCUGAUAAAUUUGGUAUGGGCAUCCACAAAAAUAACAAAAUAGCAAAAACCAUCGGACGAAAACAUAGGGGAAGGACCCCAAACAUCACUAAAAAUUAGAUCAAGAGGAGCUUGAGUUUGAUGACCCGUAGUUUUUAAAGUCAGACGAGAAGAUUUUCCCAAAGGGCAUGCUGGACAAUUAAAAUUAAAUUGUUUUGACGUACAGGACACCUGUUUAGUUGACAAUAGAAAAUUCAGAAUGCGUGGACUAGGAUGUCCAAGCCGACGAUGCCAGACAUCAGUAGAAGUAGAGAUACAUGUAGACGAGAAGACUUGAGGCAACGACAUUGCAGACGACGCGGAUAAAAUAUAUAGACCAUCUUUACUCCGACCGGAAAGAAGCACCUUCUUUGUCAUGAGGUCCUUAACAUAAAAUAAAGAUGGAUGAAAUUCAAAAAACACAUUAUUCUCAAGACAAAACUUUUGAACAGAAAGUAGAGGUUUUUUAAUGUGAGGCACAUGUAAAUAUUGGAUAAGGUAAAUGUGCGUUUGGGUGAACGAAUUUUAGAGUGAGCAAUAUUAGAAAUAGUGAGGCCCUUACCAUCGCCAACAUGUAAAUGAUCAUUACCACAAUAAGGUUCUGAGCUCGUCAUACUCGCAAGGUCCGGUGUCACAUGAUGAUUUGCACCUGUAUCAGGAAACCAAGUAACAUGAGCAGUUAUAGGAGCAUUAUUAAAUGCUAAAUUGGCAUUAGCUUGUAGAUUAUGAGUAGCCAAUUGAGAGCACUGCUGGGCGGUAUGUCCAUAGUCAUAACACAGCUGACACUUUGCAGUUCGGUUAUAGCCUCCCAAUUGGUUUCCUUGCUGCCCAAACUGCUGACCAGAGCUAGAUGAAAACCGGUUUUGCUAUUGUCCAAAUUUCAGACCUGAACCAUAACUAUUAGUGCUGAAGUUGGAGUCUGAACUAUAGCCAUGAUUCCCACGAUUGUAGCUACAAUUACUCUGUCUCCAACCCCCACGAAACCGGCCCCUUCUUCCAGUACUGGAACCAAACUGACGCUGCCCAAAAAAUGCAAAUGGCUGCUGUGAUGGAGUUGGUAACAGAGGAGCUGUUACAGCAAGAUGGAGUGAAGCCUUAUGGAGAAAUUCAUGUGUGAGGAGAUGGCUAUGGAGGUCUGUGUAAGAGAUGGGAUCAGCCUUAGUGGACAGGCUGGUUACCAGAUCCUUAAAAUCACUGUGUAACCCCCGAAACACAUAUAAAUUAAAUUCGGCCAUGGAGAUUGGUCUGCCAGUAGCUGCAAGUUCAUCAAACAAGGCCUUAGCCUUCUGCAAAUAAGUGCUGGCAGAGUCAUCGUGGUGUCGUAAAUCUUGGAAUGCACUGUGGAGCUGCAUAAUCCGUGAGUUUGAAGGGGAAGCAAGGGCAGUUUCCAGCGUUGUCCAGAUUUCUUGAGAAGUUUUACAAUCCACAACUAGGUGCAGAACUUUUAUGGAGAGCGAGGAUAAAAGAGCACUCAUGAUUAGGUGAUCUUGUUGUGUCCAUAAUAAAUAUGAAGGAUUGACCGAUGGUAAGGAUGUGGUAGUAGAUAUAAGAUGAGAGGGAGGACAUGGUGAAGUGCCAUCAACAAAGGAGUACACACCUUGGCCCAAGAGAAACGGUUUCAUCUGCAUCCUCCAAUACAAGAAGUUGGUAUUGGAGAGUCAUAAGGAGAUUACCUGCUGCAUAUUAGAAAGAGGAAUGAUGGCAGACCUGUUCAUGAUAUCUAGAGAAGAGUUCAUAGGAACUAUGCUGGCAGUAGCAGCCGCUAAAGAGGAUUGAGAGAUUGGUGCAACACCAGCACCAUGUUGAAGUUCUUGGUUGUCCAUUGUCAAGAGAGAGGGAGAGGCAGACAGACAGGUGAGGGAGGAAGGGCUGAAUGAAGGGCUGAAUGAAGAUGGAAGCAGAGGAGUGCAACGGUCUAGAGGAGACGACCGAACAAUAAUCCAGAAGCGUGAAGGAAGAUUUUGUUGCUGCUCUGAUACCAAGUUGAGUUUUGUAAAGAGAUUGAAUUAAUGUAUAAUGUAUUGGACGCGAAUCACAGCAACCCUUCCUUGAUCCUUUAGGGUUGUGUAUAAUACAAGGGUGGAAUGUACUAUACAUGAUACUUAUUCCUAUACAAGGUAUUUACAUAUAUAUAGGACUCUUUCCAUAAUAACUAGAUAGAUCAAUAAAAGUCUUUGCAUAGAAGAAUAAUAUCCUAACACUGAAAAUUGCCUCUCAUCGACCUGUACCAUUCUUGAAGAUUUUGUUUAGGGUCCCUAGAUAGACAACUUAAACACCAGAACCAAUGCAUGAAUCUACCCUAAAAAUUCCACGAAAUAGUACAAUGAUGAAAUAGAUUAUUACUAGUCCAAAUCUCCUCACAAUAAAAAGGAAAACGAGCAUCCUCAUAAUUAACAAUCCCCCUCUCAGCUAAAAAACCCCUAGCGUUGAGACUAGCAUUAAGCAGGAGCCAUAUGAACACAUCAAUUUGAGGAGGUGCAAAACCUUUCCAAAGCAAAACAAAAAAAGAAGGAGCCCCUGAAGCAGACAGGCUAUCUAGAAAUUUGCAACACUGAAUAAGUGUUGGAAAUAUCAAAUUUACAUGCCUCACUAUCUUCACCUCCAGAAAAAACUAAACCACGCUCCACCGCUGCAAUUAAAAUUUCCCGCAUACAAAGCUCAUGAGACCUCAGAUUCCUCCUCCAAGUCAAGCUAACCGAAUUAUCAAUCGGGCUAUACACAUUUGUAUGGCCAACUAAUUGCUGCAGAGAAAGAUUAAAUAGUCUAGGAAAUAAAUUAUGAAGAGGAGCUGGAGUACCUAGCCAAGAAUCGAUCCAAGACCAAACGUUAGUGUCAUCACCUACCUUGAACCCAAUGCUUGAAUUAAGUCGAAUGGCUAUGCUUUCUCUUGUGGAGAAAGUCAAAACAAUGCCUCGCCAGGUUGGAGAAAAAGAAACAGAAAACACAGGAAGCCCAUUCUUGUGGCGUGCACGGCGUCGAUUGGCAGAUAUGUCUCCAAAGUGUGUUGGAAAGGGGUUUUGGAUUUAAUCAUAAAAUUAUGAUUAUAAGAUUCAGGAGUCGCAACCUAGUAUUAUGGUUGUUAGAAAACCUAAUGGUCUGCGAGAGUCCGGGUAAGGGAUUGGUUGUGCAAGGGGAAGACGUAUCACGCCUAGCACACCCUCCCUAAGGUAAGCUGCAUUGUUAUUUGAUUGUUAUUCUA
rnacentral:lncRNA from 1 species